GGUGUUUGGAAUGAAAGUUUGAUCCAAGAUCUACCUAUUUAUCAAACUGGUGUUCAAUCGCUAGCUAGGUAGAUCUCGGAUCAGGCUUCAUUCCUCACACC
rnacentral:pre_miRNA from 1 species